rnacentral:rRNA from 1 species
AGUGAACGCUGGCGGUAGGCCUAACACAUGCAAGUCGGACGGCAGCACAGUAAGAGCUUGCUCUUACGGGUGGCGAGUGGCGGACGGGUGAGGAAUACAUCGGAAUCUACUUUUUCGUGGGGGAUAACGUAGGGAAACUGACGCUAAUACCGCAUACGACCUACGGGUGAAAGCAGGGGAGCUUCGGACCUUGCGCGAGUGAAUGAGCCGAUGUCGGAUUAGCUAGUUGGCGGGGUAAAGGCCCACCAAGGCGACGAUCCGUAGCUGGUCUGAGAGGAUGAUCAGCCACACUGGAACUGAGACACGGUCCAGACUCCUACGGGAGGCAGCAGUGGGGAAUAUUGGACAAAGGGCGCAAGCCUGAUCCAGCCAUACCGCGUGGGUGAAGAAGGCCUUCGGGUUGUAAAGCCCUUUUGUUGGGAAAGAAAAGCAGCAGGUUAAUCCCCCGCUGUUCUGACGGUACCCAAAGAAUAAGCACCGGCUAACUUCGUG